AGUGAACGCUGGCGGCAGGCCUAACACAUGCAAGUCGAACGAGUGGCGGACGGGUGAGUAAUGUCUCGGAAACUGCCUGAUGGAGGGGGAUAACUACUGGAAACGUUAGCUAAUACCGCAUACGCUCAGAUGUGCCCAUAUGGGAUUAGCUAGUUGGUGGGGUAACGGCCUACCAAGGCGACGAUCCGUAGCGGGUCGGAGAGGAUGACCAGUCACACUGGACCUGAGACACGGUCCAGACUCCUACGGGAGGCAGCAGUGGGGAAUAUUGCACAAUGGGCGCAAGCCUGAUCCAGCCAUGCCGCGUGUAUGAAGAAGGUCUUCGGGUUGUAAAGCACUUUAAGUGGGGAGGCGUUACCAACAGAAUAAGCACCGGCUAACUUCGUGCCAGCAGCCGCGGUAAUAC
rnacentral:rRNA from 1 species